AAUUAAACUAGAUUUUAACCUGCGCUAUAUCGCGGGGACAAUUUAUUUUCUUAAAGUUAGUAUAUAUAAAAAUUUACAAAUUUUAUCUAUCUAUAAAAUAUUUUCAUUUUAUAGUUUACAAUUGUUAUUAAAUAACGUCCUGCCAAACCCGUCCCGCCAACCCGUCCCGUAAAAAAACUUAUUUA
rnacentral:sRNA from 1 species